ensembl:snoRNA Gm25059 predicted gene, 25059
CCUGCCCUUAGACUGCAGGUAUCACAUACAUCAAUAGGUGGCAGAAAGGAGAGAGGCUAGGUCUACACUCAGUGUUCAGACCUAUGAACUUCUGAAUAAUUAUAUUAAUUUUUAAAA